GCGCGUACGGUGCAUUGUGCCUCGUUGGCAACAGGACGAACACGCUUCACUUGUCGCUCGCUUUAUCACUGGAUAGCCUAUACUUAGUGUAGAUUCCAUGAAACCGCCACGUGUUCCUACAGUUCGGGUAAACACCGCGCGCGAGAUCGGCAUUGGGUUGUUGCUCGGCACCAUCGCUGGUCUCGGGUGGCGCGCUUACCACGAAGCCUGGCGAGAGACGAUCGAUAACUAUUACAAGGGGCUCGAGGCUGCGCGCAAAGCGUCGACGUCGUCUUAGGUCAGGGCGCGUUUAUAUGGUUGCGUGUGCCCCACGAACGACCAUCUCCAUGAGACGCCACGUCGGGGUGAAUGUCGUGUCUUCAGCGGCGGCGGCGGCGGCGGCAGAGGCGGCGGGCUCUCCCGCGAACGCCGGGCACAGUGCCCACACGUAGUACACGGCGCGGAUGUUAUCGGGCGCACCCUCAAUAACCUCACCGUGGAGGUCCCGGAGGCAAUGGAUUUGCUGCGUGGUGAACUGUACGAUAAGCACGGGUUCUUCGUCGAGGAACCUACCGGUUACCAGCUCGACGUGGUCCAGGUCCAGAAUGCGCGUGUCCAUGACGAUGCCGCUGAGGCGCCGUUCGUGGAUGCUUGCAGCCAUCAUAGCGAACGCCUCUUCAGUGCAGUGCUCUUGCAAUGUCUCCAGGUCACCGGCAAGAUACGCUCCAAGAACGGUUGGAAUCAGACGACUCUCGAUAUCUACAAGGAAACGAGAUAUGGUAAACUUGGGAUCAAGGGUCCGAAUCGCUCCAAUGACUUGUGCCAUUUCAUUCUCCGCGAAGAAGCGGUCGUGAAUCGUUCGAAAGACGUUCACCACUGGAUGAUCACUCUCAUCCAGACGCUCGCUGACGCGCUCUUUAGCCUCCAGCACUGAUCGCAUAAACGGUGAACCCGCAAACCGCGAAAAGAUUCGGUUCAGCACGGACGCAUAGCCUGUUGUUGUGGAUGCAUCGCCUUGAGCGUCAUCGUCGUGCGACCGAACGCGCCCCUGGGGUACCAGUGCGGUGCCAGCUUCGCGGUUCGCUGCCGACGCCGUAGACGUUGCGUGAGAGGUGGCUGCUGAUCGCGAGCGAUGAGCACGCUGUACGCUGGCUCGCACGGGCUCUGCGUCGUUGAGUUGGCCGCGCCUCCGAGCUUCCGCUGCGAGCGUAUCCUCGAUCGCCGCCUGGGUGCCGCCAAAGAGGCCUCGGAAGAACCCGGCCCAGCCGGGUCGGCGAUCCCCCGGACGGUACGCCUGGACCGCCUCGGGUGCUGCCUCUGCUACCGACGACGACGAGGUGUGCUGGUCGACCUCGGCUGUUGACGCGGACUCGGUGGUGCGCGGCUCGGGCGCUGCGCUUGUGCGCGCAGUGGCUGAAACCGGCUUGGCGCUUGUUGAGGUUUCCGAGGUGCACGGUCUUCGCAACAAGGGGCGCAACUCAUUGGGUCUUCGUCGCCCGGCGUUGACACGAGCGGCUGACGUUCGCGUCAACGCCGUGCUGCCGAGUCGCCAGCAGAGCACGCUGAGCUGCCUGCUGGUGAUCGGUCUCCACAUUCCGUGCUCACUAUUUCCUACAGUCGGUAAAGAUAUUU